rnacentral:rRNA from 1 species
AUUGAACGCUGGCGGCAUGCCUUACACAUGCAAGUCGAACGGUAACGGGCCUUCGGGUGCCGACGAGUGGCGAACGGGUGAGUAAUACAUCGGAACGUGCCCGAUCGUGGGGGAUAACGAGGCGAAAGCUUUGCUAAUACCGCAUACGAUCUACGGAUGAAAGCAGGGGACCGCAAGGCCUUGCGCGGACGGAGCGGCCGAUGGCAGAUUAGGUAGUUGGUGGGAUAAAAGCUUACCAAGCCGACGAUCUGUAGCUGGUCUGAGAGGAUGAUCAGCCACACUGGGACUGAGACACGGCCCAGACUUCUACGGGAGGCAGCAGUGGGGAAUUUUGGACAAUGGGCGCAAGCCUGAUCCAGCCAUGCCGCGUGCAGGAUGAAGGCCUUCGGGUUGUAAACUGCUUUUGUACGGAACGAAAAGCCUUCUUUUAAUACAGGAGGGUCAUGACGGUACCGUAAGAAUAAGCACCGGCUAACUACGUG